rnacentral:rRNA from 1 species
UGAGGAAUAUUGGUCAAUGGACGAGAGUCUGAACCAGCCAAGUAGCGUGCAGGACGACGGCCCUAUGGGUUGUAAACUGCUUUUAUAAGGGAAUAAAGUGAGCUACGUGUAGCUUUUUGCAUGUACCUUAUGAAUAAGGACCGGCUAAUUCCGUGCCAGCAGCCGCGGUAAUACGGAAGGUCCGGGCGUUAUCCGGAUUUAUUGGGUUUAAAGGGAGCGUAGGCCGGAGAUUAAGCGUGUUGUGAAAUGUAGUGGCUCAACCUCUGCACUGCAGCGCGAACUGGUCUUCUUGAGUACGCACAACGUGGGCGGAAUUCGUGGUGUAGCGGUGAAAUGCUUAGAUAUCACGAAGAACUCCGAUUGCGAAGGCAGCUCACGGGAGCGCAACUGACGCUGAAGCUCGAAAGUGCGGGUAUCGAACAGGA